AUGAACGCUGGCGGCGUGCUUAACACAUGCAAGUCGAACGGAAAGGCCCAAGCUUGCUUGGGUACUCGAGUGGCGAACGGGUGAGUAACACGUGGGUGAUCUGCCCUGCACUUCGGGAUAAGCCUGGGAAACUGGGUCUAAUACCGGAUAGGACCACUUCUUGGAUGUUGUGGUGGAAGGUUUUUUCGGUGUGGGAUGAGCUCGCGGCCUAUCAGCUUGUUGGUGGGGUAAUGGCCUACCAAGGCGUCGACGGGUAGCCGGCCUGAGAGGGUGUACGGCCACAUUGGGACUGAGAUACGGCCCAGACUCCUACGGGAGGCAGCAGUGGGGAAUAUUGCACAAUGGGCGCAAGCCUGAUGCAGCGACGCCGCGUGGGGGAUGACGGCCUUCGGGUUGUAAACUCCUUUCGCUAGGGACGAAGCGUUUUGUGACGGUACCUGGAGAAGAAGCACCGGCUAACUACGU
rnacentral:rRNA from 1 species